AUGCAGAAGCAGAUGAAGAGCACAGAGCUUGUGGUGGCCCUGUCUCCAGUGCACAUCGCCGUUAUAGUAUUUCGGGGACGUCUUGCAUUCUGUAACCCAAAAGAAAAACCCCAGCCGCUUAACAGAAAGCACAGAAUGAGAAUGAGGCAGCAGAGGAGAAGCUUAAUGUGUCCCCGCGGGUCACAGGUGACUGAUUCUGCCAAGCAGGACACGCUCUUGGAUUCACCUCAGAUCGCUCUUUCCACUUGCUUCAUGGAUAAGUUUGAAGUUUGAAGUAAACUUGCGUCCGUUUGGUGAUUAAACAAACUGUUUUAGACUGCUGCUCGAGUUGAACGCAACACGUCCAGAGUGUGUGUGAUACUGGUGAGUUCUCAGACUCAGCGCUGCUCUUUUAUUUUGAUUAGAUAAUCAUUAAGUGUUCAAGAAUAGAAGCAUUUUAUGUGUGAGAAUAUACAUUGCACUGGUAUAAUUGUAAUGCUAUGGCCUUUGUGUAUAUAUUUAAAAUUGUGCAUCUUUAAGCUUGACUGUUGAAAUGAAAUGGUAACACUUUAAAAUAAGAGUCCAUAUGUAACAUUAAGAUUAAUGAAAGCCAUGUAAGUAUUGUUCCUUGUUAGAGUAUCCAUUUUAAAAACUAUCAGUUAAUUAAUCGGUGUUGGCCAGUGUGGUCCAACCUAGCUAUCGGUAUCGGCAAAAUCCACUAUCGGUCGACCUCUAAUGUUAUAUAUUUUUUUUUAAAAAUGCGAGAAUAAAGAACCAUAUUCUAUAACA
ensembl:lncRNA